GCCAUAUUUUAUUUAAUCCCAACAAUACCCUUACCAUUUUCUUCAACCUACCAACUAACAAGAGAAUCCACUCCUUAGGAAAGAUCACCGAAAUCUCUGGCUUCUCUAUUGCUCCGGCGAGGAAAGGUCUUCCAAAUCUCUUCCUUCUCCGGCGAGUAAAGCUUGUGUUGGUGAAGCCCUAAAUCUCCUCUGAAUCUGACUACGAUGAUCUACAUGCAGAAAACCAUCAUCUCAGGUGAGUUGAUUGUUCCUCCCACGGUUUCCUCAGAAUCAGGCAGCGCUUGCUGUAUUGGCCACCGUUGGGCAAAAUCCAGCUGCCUUUAGUGUUAACCCUGCUGUUCUUGCAUCGUUGAACCCCGCUUGGGCAGUUGCCAUGAAUGCUUCCGCACAUCCUGUUCCAUCCACAGCCCAACCGCAGGCAAUGCCGAGAUUUGGAAUGGGGAAUUCGAGGUUAUCAGAACCCACAAGCUAAUCAAACCAAUAACUUGUAUCAGAGUGGCCCAAUGGCGCAGCCUCAUCAACCAAGGCCACACUCUGCCCUUGGGCAUAUGGGAGGAUAUGGUGCACGUUGGCUGAGUUGGAUCUGUUGUUUUUGCUUUAUUUUUUGUUUAUUUGCUAUCCUUCCUUGAGGUUUCUUCGGUUUUUAUUUGUCUCUAAUUUUCUGUUUACUUUGUUCUUAGUCUGAUAUUUUGGAAGCGGUUAUUCUUUUGGGCUGCGGCCGCUUGGGGGAAUGAACGUAUUCAGAAUUCAGAUGCAUGAAUGUAAUUCCAGAUUUUUCCUUAUGCACUUCUUAGUAGUUUUGCCGGGUUGUGUAACCAAUAUUUUCAAAUUUCUUGUGUAAGCUUUUGAUUGUGAACUAAUUUUUAGUGACACAAUGAAGAUGAUUUUGGAUCA